UUUUCCUGACAGAAUGACUGACAGAAAUACGACCCUUGUGCACCUUUCCUAGUUAAUUCAUUAGGUCAACUCUAACCACUAAGCCCCUUGUCAGGUUAUUUCUAUUAGUGAUAAGGAGCAAUUGAUCUUAAAAGACUGAAGCCAGGUAGAGGAGCCUAUUCCACAAGGUCUCUUGGCUCCACCCUUGUGAAGUGAAAUCUGCCAGGUGUGGGUCAUUUGACCUUUGCUAUAUAGGAAGCUUGAGGAGCUGUGGGGAAUUGCCUUCCUGGGGGAGUCUGAGGCUCAGGUUGUUGAGGGUGCUUUUCUGCUGUUGUGGGGAAGUGGGCUUAGUGUUCCCCUGUGGGCUGUUUUUUCUUCGUGUUUUCUGCCAUCUAUGUGAAAUAGUUUUAGUGACUCUAUGAGCUAGCUAUGUUGGCGGUGCCUUCUCAGUACAGUAGAACCCUGGUGGUGCGACUUCCCUGUGAAGCAGUGUGGAAGUGACUCUGGUUCAGAAGCUGGCAGAGAGCUGCUCCAUGAGGCAGGAAGUGAACCCUAAGCCCAUGCCUCCCCCAAAGCUGUGGAAGACCAGAAACCUCUUGGAGCCUGCUGCACUGGUCAGCCAUUUCACAAGCCCUAUCAACAACUGAGUCCCCAUCUCCUUCCCAGUGGUGUAGUAGCCCUGAACACAGCUGUUGGCAGCAUCUUCUUUGCCAUUGAUGGGCUGCUCCAGGUAGACGAGUGGGCAGUACAUCCCAGUCCAGGCCUCAGCAAUGGUGGUGGGCUCCAGGCCAACAAGCAUUGCUCUGGGCACAUGUUUCCCUGAGUCUGUCUCACUAAAGAAGGUCCCAAAGGAAGAAUCUGUUUGCCCUGAGGAUGCCUUGGAGGAAACAA